UUCACUCAAACAACCCUAAUUACAUCCACACCAGCGGCGCUCUCUCUCUCUCUCUGAAAGAAACCACUCACCUUGUAACUCAGUUUCAUUCAUCGUCGCCUCUCUUCUACCUAUCUCUCCUUCAUCAUCGCAUCAACUGAGUAACAAAGUCACUCAAACCUCCCUCAGUCUCACCGAUGGACCACAUUGACACAGAUCUGGAAAAUAAAAUACCAGAAAAUAACUUUCAGUCACCAUAUCUUGUUGCUUUUGCUGCCAUUAUUGCCUAUACUCAGUGCUGCUAUUACUGCCUAUACUGUUAAUUUGAGGGAGCUUUGUUAGGAAAUUAAGCUGAAGGAAUUAAUACUCACUUAUGGAUGACAUUGAUAUUUAUAUGGACAAUGAAUCAACCCAAAAUUGGAGGUAUUGAACAAUUGAGGUUUUGUGGAAGUUGCAUCACUGGUUAAAAGUUUUGGUUGUUCAAUAAUGAAUCAUAUCUUAAACUUUGAUUGAUGUUGUGCACCCUUUGGAGUAGAUGUUGAUAGAUGAUGCAAAAUGAAGCCCAACUCAAUGGUGGCUGGUGGAGUGGCUGGUGACAGUGGCAACAAUUAUGGAAGAAUGUCAAUACCAAUUUUUGAUUUAUAAUGGGCUGUAAUAUAUUUUUAAUGUUCUGUAAAAUAUAUAAUAUAUAUCUGUAUUAUGUAGUACAACUAAGCUGAAUUUGGUGAUCAAGGUAAGGUGAUCAAGUCAAGCUUAACAAAACAAUAUGCUAGCAAAAACUGAAUGUGUGAAUGAGACCGUCAAGCAGGAUGAAUAUGAAAGUGAAAAUGGCAGUCAAGAGAAAACUGAUUUUAGCAGUUUGAAUGCUGUUAUUAAGCAGCAGCUUGUUGAUAUAUUUAAAUUUAUCCUUUUAUUUGACUUA